rnacentral:rRNA from 1 species
CAGCCGCCGCGGUAAUACGUAGGUGGCGAGCGUUGUCCGGAUUUAUUGGGCGUAAAGGGAGUGUAGGCAGUCUUUUAAGUCUGAUGUGAAAGCCCACGGCUCAAUCGUGGAGGGUCAUUGGAAACUGGGAGACUUGAGUGCAGAAGAGGAGAGCGGAAUUCCAUGUGUAGCGGUGAAAUGCGUAGAUAUAUGGAGGAACACCAGUGGCGAAGGCGGCUCUCUGGUCUGUAACUGACGCUGAGGCUCGAAAGCGUGGGGAGCAAACAGGAUUAGAUACCCCUGUAGUCCCUGUCUCUUAUAC